AUGGCUGAGGAGUGCAGAGAGACGCUGCUGAAGAAGGUUUACUAUGACGAGUGUCCCGGCUGUGUAGUGGAACAGCGUAAAGAGCUGCAGAGAGGUCUUCCUAUUAAAAUGCUUGUUUCUAUAUGGCUUAUUGCUCUUUCAUCUGCGCUGCCAGUAUCAUCUCUCUUUCCAUUCCUUUAUUUCAUGAUCAGGGAUUUGCAUAUUGCUAAAAGAGAGGAAGACAUUGGCUACUAUGCUGGAUAUGUAGGGGCUUCAUUUAUGCUUGGCAGAGUUCUGACAUCAAUUUUGUGGGGAAUGGUGGCGGAUCGCUAUGGUCGGAAGCCUGUCAUAAUUAUAGGGACUGUUGCAGUGGUUAUUUUCAACACUUUAUUUGGACUCAGUGUAAACUAUUGGAUGGCUAUUUGUACACGGUUUCUUCUUGGAAGUUUGAAUGGUUCGCUUGGGCCGAUUAAGGCAUACGCAUGUGAAGCCUUCCGAGAAGAACACCAAGCUUUAAGCAUGUCAACAGUUAGUGUAGCCCGGGGUAUCGGAUUGAUCAUUGGCCCAGCUUUGGGAGGUUUCUUGGCCCAGCCAGCAGACAAAUAUCCAAGUAUAUUUUCCCAAAACUCGAUAUUUGGGAGGUUUCCGUAUUUCUUGCCUUGCCUAUGUAUAUCGGCUUUAGCGUUUGGAGUAACCAUUAUUUCUUUCUGGCUUCCGGAAACUUUACACCAGCACAACGGAAAAGCUAGAUUACACGAUGAUUCUUAUGAAGCUUUGGAAACUGCAUCUGGUGGGUCUGAUGCAAAUGAAAAGCAAAAAACUGAAGAACAAACACCUAAAGAAAACCUUUUCAAGAAUUGGCCCUUAAUGUCUUCAAUCAUUGUUUAUUGUGUUUUCUCACUUCAUGACAUGGCUUAUGCAGAGAUAUUCUCAUUAUGGGCCGUGAGUCCUCGGAAGUUUGGGGGUUUGAGCUUUACAACUGAGGACGUUGGUGAAGUUCUUGCAAUUUCUGGUUUUAGUCUUUUUGUCUUCCAAAUUACUCUAUAUCCAUAUGUUGAAAGGCUUCUUGGUCCUGUUAUGAUUGCUCGCGUUGGAGGGAUUAUAUCCAUACCCCUGUUGUCAAGUUACCCGUUUAUAGCAAUGUUGUCCGGGCUCUCACUUUUCGUGCUGUUAAACUGUGCAUCUGUGCUGAAGAAUGUCAUAUCUAUCACGAUUAUAACCGGCAUGUUCAUCCUUCAAAACAGAGCGGUGGACCAAAAACAAAGAGGCGCAGCUAAUGGACUUUCUAUGACAGCAAUGUCACUGUUCAAGGCAAUUGCUCCAGCUGCUGGUGGUGCAUUGUUUUCUUGGGCACAAAAACGUCGGGAUGCUGCCCUCCUACCUGGAAGCCAGAUGAUAUUCUUCAUCUUGAAUGUGGUCGAGGCAAUUGCAGUUCUGAUGACAUUUAAGCCGUUUCUCACUCUACGUGAAUAGAUCGUGAUCAACGUAAACGGAAGUUCAUGUCGAAGUCUAAGGACAUUUAAGCCGUUUCUGAUGACAUUUACGCUUUCAGUAAAUCGUGCAGGAGUCUUAUCACGUCGAGAGUAAUUUGAAGUGGAUUUACUGCCCCUCGAUAUGCUUCCGCUUUCGAAGAUUCAUUAGUUGCGGAGACGAAAAAAGCAUUUGGUUUCCAAGUGGAGACAUUUGCCUUAAGAGAGAAAGGGAGAGGAGAAAGAGAGAGAGAGAGAGAGAUGAAGACGGGGAGUCGCUGGACGGCUGGAGGCUUGUGAGAAGUGGUGAUAUUCUGCUUGGAGUGGGUGGUGCUCACACUCGCCUUCAUCUUGAGGUACUAUGCCUGGUGGUGGUGGUGCUGCUGCUAUGAGGUGCUCCAAGGUGCAACAAGCAGCUGACGAGGAUUUGAAGGACCAGCCAUAGCCUUUCCAAGUCUAACAUGGAACAUCCAACAUACAUCGAUUCGAUUCCUAGAACAUCAAACAUACCCCGCAGCCAUGGCCUCCCUAUUUGCUUCCACCACUAGAACAAUCUCUCUCUCUCUCUCUCUCUCUCUCUCUCUCUCUCUCGUUUCUAUUACUUUUCUUAGCGCAUCCUAUUGAUGCAAUGGAUCAUUUUUUGAAAUUCGAGUGUCGCGGGCAGAUUAGAGCUUUCAAUUUUUUUAAUUUGAGAUUUUUGUUUUCACUGUAAGAAAUUAGGGUUCUUGAUGCAAUAUUUAGAACGUGUAUCGGUUUUGUUGUAGACAUAUAUCGUGCAAUAAAUGGCGUUGAGAGA